rnacentral:rRNA from 1 species
CACAUGCAAGUCGGACGGGAUUGGAGAGCUUGCUUUCCAUGAGAGUGGCGCACGGGUGCGUAACACGUAUGUAACCUACCCAUAUCAGGGGGAUAGCCUCUCGAAAGAGAGAUUAAGACCGCAUAACAUUACGACAUAGCAUUAUGAUGUAAUCAAAUAUUUAUAGGAUAUGGAUGGGCAUGCGGAGCAUUAGCUAGUUGGUGAGGUAACUGCUCACCAAGGCUACGAUGUUUAGGGGAUCUGAGAGGAUGACCCCCCACACUGGAACUGAGACACGGUCCAGACUCCUACGGGAGGCAGCAGUGGGGAAUUUUGGACAAUGGGCGCAAGCCUGAUCCAGCAAUGCCGCGUGAGUGAAGAAGGCCUUCGGGUUGUAAAGCUCUUUUGUCAGGGAAGAAACGGUUGUGGCUAAUAUCCGCAACUAAUGACGGUACCUGAAGAAUAAGCACCGGCUAACUACGUGCCAGCAGCCGCGGUAAUACGUAGGGUGCAAGCGUUAAUCGGAAUUACUGGGCGUAAAGCGUGCGCAGGCGGUUUUGUAAGUCUGUCGUGAAAUCCCCGGGCUCAACCUGGGAAUGGCGAUGGAGACAGCAAGGCUAGAAUCUGGCAGAGGGGGGUAGAAUUCCACGUGUAGCAGUGAAAUGCGUAGAGAUGUGGAGGAACACCGAUGGCGAAGGCAGCCCCCUGGGUCAAGAUUGACGCUCA